UGGCAGCAUGGGACGCAGCCUGAUGCAGCAACGCCGCGUGAGUGAUGAAGGCCUUCGGGUCGUAAAGUUCUGUCCUAAGGGAAGAUACAGUGACGGUACCUUAGGAAGACCCCCCGGCUAACUACGUGCCAGCCGCCGCGGUAAUACGUGUAGGGGGCA
rnacentral:rRNA from 1 species